UGGAUAAAUUUGAACUUAAAUUCUGUUUCUGGACAACCAGCUAUCACCAGGCUCGUUAGGCUUUUCACCUCUACCUAUGAAUCUUCUCACUAUUUUGCAACAUAAAUGAGUUGGUUCUUUGUA